rnacentral:rRNA from 1 species
AGUGCACGCUGGCGGCAGGCCUAACACAUGCAAGUCGAACGGAGUGGCGGACGGGUGAGGAAUACAUCGGAAUCUACUCUGUCGUGGGGGAUCACGUCGGGAAACUUACGCUAAUACCGCAUACUAUCAGAUGAGCCUAUGUCGGAUUGGCUAGUUGGUGGGGUAAAGGCCUACCAAGGCGACGAUCCGUACCUGGUCUGAGAGGAUGAUCAGUCACACUGGAACUGAGACACGGUCCAGACUCCUACGGGAGGCAGCAGUGGGGAAUAUUGGACAAUGGGCGUAAGCCUGAUCCAGCCAUGCCGAGUGUGUGAAGAAGGUCUUCGGAUUGUAAAGCACUUUAAGUUGGGAGGCGUUACCAACAGAAGAAGCACCGGCUAACUUCGUGCCAGCAGCCGCGGUAAUAC